GCCCCUGUAGCUCAGUUGGAUAGAGCACCAGCCCCCGGAGCUGGGAGCGAGCGUUCGAGUCGCUCCAGGGGCG
rnacentral:tRNA from 1 species